UGUAUAAAAAUUGCACCGCCGAACACCACUUCUCCCCAUCAUAGCACAAGUCUAGAUAGGUAAUUGUCAUUACUCAAGAGGAGCUGUAGACUGUAGAGUAUUGGUCGUAUUGGUCCAUGGUCGAUGAUGAAACAAACAUCUGCAAGUCCUAGCAAUGGUCGCAAGACUGAAAUGCGGAAAACUUGUCACAAACUUUUCUGAGGCUUCAAAACUCCGACUUCGGUCUUGGUCUCGCACUACCCAAUCACUCUUGCUCUCACUGUUAAUGUGCUCUGUUUUUUAUGAUCUUUCAAUAAUCACAACACAAUUUAGUUGAAAUUACUUGAAUAAUUGAACCCAAACCACAUCGAUGGCCAUAGUCAAGUAUACAAGUCCAUCACACGAACACGGCCGCCGUGGCAGGCAACGCCAUGUGAUUGGGAUCAGUCACGUGACCUCAUAGAGACAAUGCACAUGACCUCACAGCUACCACCAAAGUGCACCCAAAUUCACCAUGCACCCAGCCUGGACCCAACAUCCUCCUCUCGACAACGUCAUAUUAUGUGCACGUGACUCAUGUAAGCGACUCCUAUUCGUUCCAUAGAGAAUAUCAGGUGAUCGGACAAAUCUUCCUAAUCAAAAUGAUACUCUGAAAGCGCAGUUUCUGUUUCUAC
rnacentral:misc_RNA from 1 species